ACGGAAGAGAGAGGGUCUGAGCUAACGAAGCAGGGGAAGCGCUGUAAGACUACGGAGCUGGAGGACAGGGUUUGGUCUCCCUUCGCGAUCAGCGACACUCACCCGGUGUUUGGCACCCAGCAGCAGUAGCGAUGUGAGCUCUCCCUCGGCAGCAGUGAGUGGAAAAUCCACGCCGGCGGGACCCGGGACGCAAGCCUCCAGCGGCGGUGGUGAGGAGCUGAGCUGAGGCGGCUUGCAGUGACGCAGAGAUCCGGAGGGAGAGGAGAGGAGCGGCCUGUUGGAGUUGUCCGACACACCUCUCAGCAAAGUUCUAUACUGCUAAAGGUCCAGGCGGCAGGAAUAAAAAGGUAACUCAACCAAUCAUCAUAUCCGUCCAAACCCGAUACUUACCUGGUUUGUCACACAAGUAUCGCCUGCAUCCUGACAGCCACAAGCCUGAUCGACUGACUGUCGGGAUGUCGGAGAGAAAUUGACCCCUAUAGACCAUUAGGAAUGGCGAACCCCCUGCACAUGAUGUGUCUUUGAGCCUUUGAAAAUGAUUUAAAUUAUCCGGGACCCGUGGUUACCAUAACAACCCUUGAAGCCGUAUAAACCACGGAAGUGGAUAGUUACCGUGACAACGAGUAACAACAUGACGCGAUAACGUGAUGACGUAUCCGCGCACGCCUCCCAUGUGAUCGGAGGCGGAGAUCUUCAGCAUAUCAAGGGAGAAGGAGGGAGGAUCAGUAAAGACAACAACGCCCCCUCUAUGGACCACGUGAACGGAAUGACAGGACGUUAUAGCGUCCUGAUUGGAUAUGUUCAGAAAGGGGAGUAUAGGGAGGUGGAUCCCGGCGCACAAGCGUCAGAGACUGAUAGAUCAAUCAAUGUAUAGAGACCAGCUGUGCCGGGACCAAUCAGAAGGGAGAGAGGGACUUUUAAACCGGACGAAAAGGAGUAUUUGGCAUUCACAAAGGGAGCUGACCUUGAGAAAGACCCAGGCAGGGUCGGAACGCGUGGGUGCCCCAGUGGACUCAUCUGACUGGAGAAGAACGUGGAAUCAUCUAUGCCAGAGUAGAAAGGCCUAUCCACAUCAGAGAACUCUCCUGCUGCAGCCGGAAAAGUCUGGUGUUUUACGCCUGUGGAACUGCUUUUUGCCUGUUAUUCACCUACAUCUGGUAAUUACCCACUGCCAUAUCUAUGUCGGAUUAAGUCCACUCAAGAAUGCCUAACAGCAGAUGCUGUUCAUUUUUAAAGUGUCAUUUUAACUUGGAUGUUCUUAAUGUUGUUUUUUAUCAUGUGUGAUGUGUAUUAAAAUCCUUAACCUAAGGUACUGCA